GCCGCCAGUAGUGUAAUGGAUAGAUCACGCAUUCCCGUAAGGAGUGAGGUGCGGGUUCUAAUCCCGCCUGACGCA